rnacentral:rRNA from 1 species
UGACCGCUGGCGGCAGGCCUAACACAUGCAAGUCGAGCGGUAGAGAGAAGCUUGCUUCUCUUGAGAGCGGCGGACGGGUGAGUAAUGCCUAGGAAUCUGCCUGGUAGUGGGGGAUAACGUUCGGAAACGGACGCUAAUACCGCAUACGUCCUACGGGAGAAAGCAGGGGACCUUCGGGCCUUGCGCUAUCAGAUGAGCCUAGGUCGGAUUAGCUAGUUGGUGGGGUAAUGGCUCACCAAGGCGACGAUCCGUAACUGGUCUGAGAGGAUGAUCAGUCACACUGGAACUGAGACACGGUCCAGACUCCUACGGGAGGCAGCAGUGGGGAAUAUUGGACAAUGGGCGAAAGCCUGAUCCAGCCAUGCCGCGUGUGUGAAGAAGGUCUUCGGAUUGUAAAGCACUUUAAGUUGGGAGGAAGGGCAGUAAAUUAAUACUUUGCUGUUUUGACGUUACCGACAGAAUAAGCACCGGCUAACUCUGUG